UGUGCGUCAGAGGGAGGUGUGUCGUGGUACGAUCAGCUCUGGUGAGAUGUGGACAAUCAGUCCGGCUCUGUUGCAGCGGGGGCCACAUUACACCGGCUUCUCCUGAGUUGUGCUCCUCUUCAAAGCUCAAAUACAGAUCCAACUAUGAGCCCACAGAGGGAUACACCUAAAAAAUGACAGAACGACAAAUGGCUUCUACUGAAAGGAGCCUACGUAUCCAGGCUGAUGACGACCUAAAGUCUAUGUACGUUGGCACAGUGAUGAGAAAAAUCAAGUCUCGCACAUGGAAAAAGCAGCGUUAUUUCCGUCUACAAGAAGACUGCAUGA